rnacentral:rRNA from 1 species
UCAGUGAAUCAUCGAAUCUUUGAACGCAUAUUGCGCUCUUUGGUAUUCCGAAGAGCAUGCUUGUUUGAGUAUCAGUAAACACCUCAAAGCUUUUGGAUUUUUUAAUCGAAAAGCUUUGGACUUGAGCAAUCCCAACACCAAUCUUUUUUGAGAUCGGUGGCGGGUUGCUUGAAAUGCAGGUGCAGCUGGACAUUCUCCUGAGCUAAAAGCAUAUUCAUUUAGUCCCGUCAAACGGAUUAUUACUUUUGCUGCAGCUAACAU